GCUGCAGCAGGUUUGGGAACACUAACAGGGUAUUUUCCCCAGUGUGCAGCUCAGCGAGUUUGGAUCUGGAAAUCAUGAGCCAGUGCCCCUUUGCGGGGAAGAAUUACCUAUUUAAUUUUAACAAGCUGUCUUUGGAAGAUGACAAUGAUGACAAAUCUCAAGAAGGAAUAAAUAAAGCCAGCAAAGGUGGGCUUAUCUAUGGAGAAUACCUACAAGUAA